GAUGAACGCUGGCGGCGUGCCUAAUACGUGCAAGUCGAGCGAACUGAUUAGAAGCUUGCUUCUAUGACGUUAGCGGCGGACGGGUGAGUAACACGUGGGCAACCUGCCUGUAAGACUGGGACAACUUCGGGAAACCGAAGCUAAUACCGGAUAGGAUCUUCUCCUUCAUGGGAGAUGAUUGAAAGAUGGUUUCGGCUAUCACUUACAGAUGGGCCCGCGGUGCAUUAGCUAGUUGGUGAGGUAACGGCUCACCAAGGCAACGAUGCAUAGCCGACCUUAGAGGGUGAUCGGCCACACUGGGACUGAGACACGGCCCAGACUCCUACGGGAGGCAGCAGUAGGGAAUCUUCCGCAAUGGACGAAAGUCUGACGGAGCAACGCCGCGUGAGUGAUGAAGGCUUUCGGGUCGUAAAACUCUGUUGUUAGGGAAGAACAAGUACAAGAGUAACUGCUCGUACCUUGACGGUACCUAACCAGAAAGCCACGGCUAACUACGUGCCAGCCGCCGCAGUAAUAC
rnacentral:rRNA from 1 species